GGGUGGCGCGCGGCAGCAGGGUUGGGCUCUCGCCGUGAGUCGACGAAGGGAGCGCGGGCGCGCGCCCGCGUCCGCGCACUGAGAGUCGCCUCGGCCGCUCGCUUUCUCGACUCCCGCCUCGCGCCUCGAUCCUGUUCCGCCUCCCUCGGCCCUCCUGCCCGCCCCCACUCGUCGGCCCUCAGGUUCCUGGAAAGUGAAAAUUUCAUUUCUUUGUGGACAGCUCAGAGACCUAAUAGGAUGGGGUCUUAGAGAAACAUCUUUUGAGCCACAGACUUCUUUGUUACCAGAAGGAAAAUGAAAGAAGAAAUUUAAAUACCACUUGAAGAGAGCUGAUCGCCACCAACUGGCCUCUGGGUGGAUUUGGCCAAUGGAAGCACCUGUAGAGGGAAGAGAGUGAGGUUAGGAUAUUUCUUCCUGCUGUCUCCGUGCUUCCCUGCAGAGAGUGUGAAGAAAUGACCCUGAAAAGCCUCUGGCAGAGGAUUCUUCUUUCAGGAUGGUGUCGCCUCCUCAGCAGCCCAUCCUCCUCCCCUGGACUCAAGCUCUCAUUCCAGUAACACUCCUUCCUCCUUCUCCAUCUUCAGGGGGAGGUUUGCCAGUCGGUGGGUUCUAAGCAUAUCUCGCUGAUUCCCCCCAACCCUGCCGACACCUCUGUAGGUCGUCCCUUCAUUAAAAUCUCUCCAUUUGAACUAUCUGAGUUUAAUUCCAUUUCCUCCUGGUAUCUCAGUGAUACACGGUAUCAGUACAAAAAUCUCGCUUCACCUUCAGAACCAACAGAUUUGAGACAUUUUAUCCUCUGUGGAACCAUUAGUUAUUUUGUCAUUGGUUGUAUCAGAAAAAAAAAUCAGGAAUGCAAAUCCUUCUUUAUUACAGAUUCAGAUUUGCAUAUUACCAAUGUUAUAUAUUUUAAACAAAACUAUUCAUCAUAAGUUUUAAAAAUUAACUACUGGAGUAGUUAAUGAAUCUGAAUGUAAUUAUGUAGCUUUCAUAAUAUUAAAGUAAAAAUACUAAAAGAAGUAUUUCUUAAAGAAGCAAAUGCUCAAUCUCCAAGUAAAUUUUAUUCUAUGCUCUUCCGGUAUAAGAAUAUGUUAAUAUCUUGAAAAAUAUCAUAUUAUUUUGUGAACUCAUAAAGCUAUUUUGAGUUUUUGUAAAAUGAAAACCUUACCAAAAUGUAUUUUAUUGUUGGAAAGCUUGACCGUUACUGCUGUUUAAUUUUUUGAGCUUGUAAACUUUAUUUGUGCAUGUUUUCAACAAAGAAGGAUUUUAUUGUUAUUACAUAAAACAGGUGAUUUCUAGAUUUUAAAAUCACAAAUUGAAAGCAAGGCACAAUAAUAUAUAUUUCAAGAUAUAGGUACUUAGGAGGCAUCCUUUUAGUCAUCUGUUCAAUGUAGCCAUCUAUUUUACACCUACUGUCUACUAUUGUUUGAGGUCCUUGCCAAAGUAUUGCAGGCUAGUUAGGAAACAUAAAACAAUUAGAAAGUAAUCUAUGACAAGUAAGCUAUCUAUAAAUGGCAAUGAAGGGUAGAACAAAUUCAAUGAAAAUAUCUAUUUAAUCCUAGUGUUUACUGGUCUAGAAGAAUAGGCUGAGUAAAUUAGUAUUUCUCUGGCUGUUGUGGUAACACAUUGCAUGCUAUAACAGUUUUAAGUAAUUACAGGUGCAUUGAAAUUUAUCUAUGGCUUUGUCAUCAUAUUCUAAAAUGUCAUGAGUACUUUUUUCUGACCUCAAUUACUAUGAAAUUGGUUUCCAAUAUUUAAUUAACCAAGAAUAUCAAGUCUAUAGGGUAUUAUUAAGGUGAGACUUCUGUAGCCUUUUCAAUAAAGACCAGAAUUUUGGAGUGCCUUGAACCUUAAUCAUUGAUCUUUAAUUCUUAUUAAGUCAACUGCCCACCUUUUAAAGACUGAGGCCCAGGAAGAGUAAGUUUCUCUGAGACAAUGCAUACAGUACAGUGCUUCUUGGGUAUUGGCUCUAAGACCAGAUGCAAAGAAAGGCUAAAAUCCCAUUUCAUUGUUCAUUAGGUGAGAACCCUUUGUUAAGCUGUGUAACCUCUGUGCAUAGUUUCCUCAUCAGCAAAGUCAGAAAAAGUAUGUACCUGAAGGACUGAUUGUAAGGCUGGGAUGAGAGAAUCCAUGUGAUCAGCCCUCACCAACAGGUGCUGCCCAGUUCAUGAGUGCUGCUGCUGUCCUGCCCAAGUACCCAGCUUGCAGAGUGCCAGAGUUAGAGUCCCAGGGGUGUUCUCCACAGCUGCAUGCUUGAUCCAGGCCUAUCAGAUAUAUUCCAUUGAAAGUCCUCAUUCUCAAAUUUAAAACAAAGACUUUUUGUGUACCUCAAUAGCAAUGCACACACAGUUGGCUUCACAAACAUAUUGUACAUUUCUUUUUUUCAUAUUUAUUCAACAAAUGUAUAUUGACUACCCACCGUGUGACAGGUGUUAUUUGUUGACGGAACCAGGCAUCAUCAGCAAACAAAACUGACAAAGCUUCCUGCCCUCUGUGGAAGGCAUCUGAGGAAGAGACUGGAUUUUGUAGCAACAUGUUAUUCUCAUUAUAAACUUUAUCAUUGGAAUACUAAAGCCAAAUCAUCCCCCAUCUCCUUGAUCAGGAUACCCACUUAAUCUAGGCAGCUACACAAUUGUGAGAGCCUUUGUUUUUUUCUGCUGAAACAUCCUUAAAAAGAUACCUCACAACCCAAGAUUUGGCUUUUCUUAAAUACGAUUUUUAAUUUUUUUCAUUUCUAUCUAGAGAUUUAAUUGGAAAUGGAAAAUCAUCAAUUUUCCAAUUAAAUGUCUGUUCCAAUCAACAUUAUACCUUUUAGGUUGUCAUUGUCAUUUUUAAGUUUAAGCAACUUUAAGGAUUUUGAAUCUGGCUGCCUGUAAAUUAAAGGUGAAAGUAAUCA
rnacentral:lncRNA from 1 species